GUACCCGGAUGUGUCACGUCACAUUAGUGCGCGCUACGUCAUACAAUCCCAUGGUCCAACAUUUCUCUGAACGCUGCAGAUUUGUGCAAAGGAAUUACGACCCGACCCUGCAUCCUUUUGAGGGGCCCAGAGAAUACACCAGGGCCCACUAAACUGGAGAGAGUGUUUGCCAAACCCUUUGUAGCUUCACUAGAUGGACACAGAGCACAUCAGCUGCAUCACCAAACACAACAAAAGCAUGUCAACAAUCAUCUGUGGUGCCUGCGAUGGGGAGGUAGAGGAUGACAAGAGCAUCAAACAGUGGAACAUAGAGGCCCCGGUGCAUGGAGUUCGGGAGGAACCAAUUAACAUGAUUCUGGGAAAGGUACAGUUUUAUCUUACAGAUAUUAUAUCAAAGAUUAUAUAUAUUAUUAUAAAAUGCAGAAAUUGCUGCAUUUAUUUGACAUAAAAUAAAUUAAUUUUGUAAUACAAUAAUAUUAUGGAAUAUUAUUAUAAUUUAAAAUAACAGUCUUCAUUGUCACAUGAUCC
rnacentral:lncRNA from 1 species